AUAUAAAAAAAAAACCAAAAAUCAAUCGUUCUUCAUCUUCUCCAAUUCCCCAAAUCAUUCCUGUCUCCCUCUAAAGCAAAGCAAAACAUAUCAAUAAAACUAAAAAUCAAUCGUUCUUCGUCUUCUCCAAUUUCCUUAAUAUCAUUCGUCCCCCUCCCCCCAUUCUGAAGCAAAACAGUGAAAGUCCCAAACCAAAACAACAAAACCCUAGCCCUAGGUUUUUUGCCGCCGCCGUCCCCUAUCUCAGUGCUUCCGCUUCUUCCUCUUCCCUCUGUCCGGAACCCAGAUAGCUCGGCACGUCGUCCCCAUCUUCACUGGCUUCUCUGUCCGUGGCUUGGAGCAGCUUGCCAUCGAGUCACUGCAUGCCGUCGUAUCUGCUCUCGUCGUCGUGUCGCCGAUCGCUGCCAGAACUAGGUCGCCGGUCGCUGCCGUUUUGGGUGCAGCAAAAGCUCUUGGUCAAAUCAAACCUCUUGGAGUUGAGGUUCAUUUUGUAGUUGCAGCUUGUAAGAAUAUGAUUAAUGGAAAAGGUAUGAGGCUUGGAGACAUUGUCACAACUUCAAAUAGAAAGACUAUAGAGGUUAACAACACUGAUGCGGAGGGUAGGCUUACCUUGUUAUGUAAUAGAAACUCUGUUUUGUGUUGUAAAUGGUUUGGUCUAAUUUGACCAAGGUCAAUUUACAUGUAUGAGAUAUAAGCUUUGCACUAUUAUCAUGAGUGCGAAUAGAUACCAGAAAAAAAAAAUUAAAGCAAAGAAGCUUUUGCAAAAGGGGUUUCAACAUGUUUUACUUGAUACAUGUGUCAAUGAAUCAUUCAAAUUUUCAAAACUUAA